AAAAAAAGAAAAGAAAAGAUAAGAAAAAGAAAAUGAAAAAGCAACAGCAGAGUUUGAGAGAACUGACUUCAAUUUGGAAAGACGUUCUGUUGUGGGUAGAAUGCUAUCAAAUAGCAUCACAUGCUACAGAGAAAUGUUCUGUGAAAGCAACGGCCAAUCGAUGGGACAGGCUUCACUGUUGUCUUAUUUGAGGAAAUUGCCACAGCCACCACAACCUUCAGCCAUCACCACCCCGAGGAGUCAGCAGCCUUCAACAUCAAGCCCCCAACCAGCAAAAUCAUUAUGAUUCACCGAAAGCUCGGAUAAGGGUUAGCAUUUUCUAGCAAAAAAUUAUUUUUCCAUCAAGGUAUGUACAUUGUAUUUUUUAGACAUAAUGCUAUUACACAUUUAGGCUACAAUAUAGUGUAAACCAACUUUUAAUAUGCACUGGAGAACCAAAAUAUUCAUUUGACUUGCUUUAUUGCAAUAUUCCCUUUAUUGCCGUGCUCUGGAACCAAACCUACCAUAUCUCUGAGGUAUGUCUGUGUGCCAUGAUACAUGUGCCCAUUUAUUUGUUUAACUUACGUUUCCCCCUAGAAGACAGAAAGUCUUGCGUAGAAAACAUUAUUCUAGUCCCUAGAUCUAAAGCACUGAACCAGAAUUUAAAGUAUGUCCCUGCUUGUCUAAGGUUUAAUUUGUAGUGGAGGGACACUGAAAAUAAACACAUGAAUGAGCACGUCGGCCAUAUCAUGUAUCACAUCCUUCCAUGGUCUAUCAUCUCAUAAAUCACUUAAUGAGAAAAGCAAUGCAGAAAAACAAAAGAGGUAAGGGAAUAAAGAACAAUAUGGGAGAGGUAAGGUCUCUUGUUUUAAGCAGAAUGCUGGGGGAGGAGUUCACUGCUGAUGCCUGAACAGACAUGAAUGAAGUGAAGGAGCGAGCCAUGCAGGAAUCUGGAGGGAGUGAAGUCUCGGCAAGAAGCAUAGGUUAAGAAAAUCACCGAAGACCCAUCGUUGGAUUGGAAACGUGGAGGUCAUUGGCUUUGACCAGGACGGUUUUAGUGGAGUCGCUGGGAUAGAAGCCUGCUUGGAAUGCGAUCAAGAGAUGACCAGAGCUGGAAAGCCUGCUUAACUCUUUGAAGACGAUGAGAGAAAUUACGGUGUUUGCUUACUGAUGGAAACGAUCCGGCAUAGAAGGCAUCGCUGAGAAGCUACUGCAGAGCAAAUCUUUGAGCAGGUGGAAGGAAAUUGAAUGGAGCGCAGAAUAGAACAUAGACAGUUGCAGAAUUGGAGUGGAAGAACACGCCCUAUUGCCAUUGCCAUCACCCUUCUUCCACAAAAGGCUAAAGAUUUGUGAAGACUGUAGAUUGACUGAAAAGGACUUCGACUCUCCAUUGAAUGCUUGCGCUCAGACGAUCUACCCGAGGGCUUGUGUCCUGCUUUCUUCAAUGAGGUGAAUGGGAGGACACAAUAAAUUAUAUUCAAAUGGCAGCCAUGGAGGAAACUUCCCUUUCCUUCCUCAUCCACCAAGCUGAUCGAUGGGCGCUAAAGCCCCGGGGAAGCAGCAUCUGUUGUAACUCAAGGAUCCCUGCUCGAGCUGAGUAUGAAAUUAACAGACACAGAGCAGUUAGCAGCUCAACAUUUGUUCAAGUCUGGCACAUGCACACAUCAUUAGCAACUAUAUUUGAGGAGCAAGAUCAAGGAGUUUACAGAUGAGGAAACUGAGAUACAAAGAGCUGAUGGGUAUUAUUCAAGGACACAAAGCUGGCAUGUGGUUCUCUGUUAUUAAAUGAGAUCGAUUUUAAAAAUUACAUCAAGGCGUGUUUGUUGUAUGAAUGGGCCUAAAAGGGCAGGAGGAGUGAAUCGUGAUGCCAGAGGUUGAUGAAAGCAGGAAUACAAAAAGAGUUGUCUGGCCAGAGCUGUGACUUUAGGUGGAGAAAGAACACAGCUGCUGUCUGAACUGCGGACAGGUUGUCUCCCAGGGGAGUUAAUUUGCCCACACGGCUGGUUGUUCCGGCAUCAGAGCAAGCCCCGUGGAGUGAGAAAGUCCCCAGGAGGAGCAGCAAAGAGUGACAGGCACCUGAGUUGUCACAAGCUGAAGCUGUCUUCCCAGCUGUAGAAAAUAGCUGUGGCACUACCCACCCCCUACUGCCAUCAUUAAGAGCACAUGGGCUCCGUGUCUACCUCUGUCCUGAGCCAAUGUUCAGGACGACGUCCAGGACUGUGGCCCUGGAAUUUCCAAUGUACUCUGGGACCAAGAUUGUCUGGAUUAUAACAAAUUUUGGCACAAGUGUGUUGAAAACACAUGAGAGAAAACCAAAGGGAUAAAAAUGGUGAGUUCCGUACAAUUCAUUCAUUUGUUCAUUCAUUCAUUCAUUCACUCAUUCAUAAAUUUACUCAAAUAUUACUGAUCUAGCAACACAGUUCUAGACUCACGGUAGGUCCUUAGUGUUUGUGGGAUUGCCCAGACAGGGACAGGUACAGAAGCAUGUCCCCCAGGGCUACUGAGAGCCAGGUGGGGAAGACUGGUGUACUCCACCCUUAUUUUCCUCCCACUCAACUCAAGGUGCAGACUCCUCUCAUGGCUCGGGAUGGAUGGAGUUCAGUUGGGAAAAGCGCAUUCUUUUUUUUUUUUUUUAAUUUUUAAAAAUGU